rnacentral:lncRNA from 1 species
ACAGGGCUCUCCGACCAUUUGAGACGUUUAAAUCACAUCGUCUGAAAACAGACUAUCUCCAACUAACUUGCCAACAUGUAUCAUAAAACAACAACAGUGGCUCUAGCUGUUCUACUCAUUGCCUUAGUUUCAUUCUCAGAUGCUACAAAUUACUGGAGAAUCGCAAAAGGCAGAAACGCUCGAUACACAGCCAGAUCACCAAGGCUCUACGACUCACUGAAGAACACACAGGUUAAAAGGUAUGGUGGUAUUGACGAUGUGGAAGCGGCGGAGAAUACCAUUGAUAAUUGGCUAAGGGAUUGGAUCAUCUCAAACAGGAAUUUCAUCAGAGGCACUAUUUUUGACGACACCUUCACAAAUGAAGUAUAAAGCCUUUCAAUCUCCCGCAUUUUCUUUUUCUUGAGUUCUGAGACCAACCAGUCUAUGCCUGUUUUCCCAAAUGCCACCGUGGUUCACGACGCUCCCUUUUUUUCUCAAAGAUGAAGGGCGACCCCAUCACACCAUAUAUACAUGUAGUUCAUCACUUCUUCCAACGCCAGGAAAUAUUACAUUACUAUUACCUUACAUUUGCAUCACACAUAUUUUGUAUUCAUGGUUAGUAGUUGCAUUUUACAGAAUAAAUUAUCUUUUUAAAAACAUGUGCUCACUCAAAUACUGUAAUUUGAAACAUGCAUGAUUUAGCGCAAAGUAAUAAUCUUUUUAUCAACUAUAAUUUUAUUUAAAAGAUGUAUACUGACAAUCCCGAUUCGUUAAAAAAUAUUUUUUUUUGUCAUUGCAAUGUAAUUUUACUUAUACAUGGUUUGGGUACUGAAGACCAACGCCUUUGUCUAUAACAUUUUUUUUAUAUCAAUGAUCGUUUAUUUACCGGUUUUGAUAAUUUUUAUUUUCCGUAUGAACUAUAUUUAAAAGAAAAUCGACUGUUUAUAUUAAAGGCGAUCAUCCUAUCUUUCAACUCAUAUGUUCAAUUACGUUCAAAUAUUUACUCUAAAGCUAUUACAAACCACCAGUCUGUGAUGGGCUUAGUAAUAUAAUUUGAAGCUUUCCAGAGACCAAGCUUAUGAAUUUGAAAUUAUGUGUUGUGAUUAGAUAAUACCAUAAAAACGUUCAGCUACGACAUUGGGUAAUAUUCUAAGGUAUGAAGGUGGAACUUAUUAAGACAUUAAUCCACUGAUGCAUUUGAUUGUACUCAUAAGUGUCAUAGUAUGCAUGUUAUCGCAGCCCUAUAAGCUACCCCUGUAGCGCGAAAUGUUGAUUGGAUAAGAAAGAUUGCACAUUUAUGAUUGGGAGUGUGGCUGUUCUGUUGAGUAAGUAUAGCCUACCAUUACCUCUGAUUACAUUUUAUAUAUUACAAUUAAAACACAACUUCAUCUGAAUGAAUUUUGGAAUUUACAAUCGAUGCGUUAAAGAUCGAAACAUAUAGGUAAAACUUAUUUGGAGAAUGCGUAGUUUGAAUAUUCAUAGGACAAUAAAGAAAUUGUAGAAAAGGGUAAUAUCAUUCUCAGAUCGAAUGAUGGGGAUAGGUAUCAGCCUCAGUGAACAGGGGAUUUGUUUAUUUUUAUUUUGUUUAAUAUAAUAUUUUAGAAACUCUCGCUCUCAACCUAUAAUAAAUACAGUCAUUCAAAAUAAAAUCCAUAGUGUCUUAAAUCAUUCUAAAUCAUAAUCAGUCCUAUCAGCCGGUGGGA